UAGGGAAUCUUCCGCAAUGGGCGAAAGCCUGCCGGAGCAACGCCGCGUGAGUGAUGAAGGUCUUCGGAUCGUAAAACUCUGUUAUUAGGGAAGAACAAAUGUGUAAGUAACUAUGCACGUCUUGACGGUACCUAAUCAGAAAGCCACGGCUAACUACGUGCCAGCAGCCGCGGUAAUACGUAGGUGGCAAGCGUUAUCCGGAAUUAUUGGGCGUAAAGCGCGCGUAGGCGGUUUUUUAAGUCUGAUGUGAAAGCCCACGGCUCAACCGUGGAGGGUCAUUGGAAACUGGGAAACUUGAGUGCGGAAGAGGAGAGGGGAAGUCCAUGUGUGGCGGUGAAAUGCGCAGGGAUAUGGAGGAACAACAGUGGCGAAGGCGACUUUCUGGUCUGUAACUGACGCUGAUGUGCGAAAGCGUGGGGAUCAAACAGG
rnacentral:rRNA from 1 species